UACGUAGGGACCGAGCGUUGUCCGGAAUCAUUGGGCGUAAAGAGCGUGUAGGCGGCCGUUCAAGUUCCGCGUGAAAUCUCACGGCUCAACCGUGAGCAGCCGUGGAAAACUGGUCGGCUAGAGUGCGGGAGAGGAGAGUGGAAUUCCUGGUGUAGCGGUGAAAUGCGCAGAUAUCAGGAAGAACACCCGUGGCGAAGGCGGCUCUCUGGAACGCAACUGACGCUGAGACGCGAAAGCGUGGGGAGCAAACAGG
rnacentral:rRNA from 1 species